rnacentral:rRNA from 1 species
UACGUAGGGUGCAAGCGUUAAUCGGAAUUACUGGGCGUAAAGCGUGCGCAGGCGGUUCCGCAAGUCAGAUGUGAAAUCCCCGGGCUCAACCUGGGAACUGCAUUUGAAACUACGGGGGCUAGAGUGUGUCAGAGGGGGGGUGGGAAUUCCACGUGUAGCAGUGAAAUGCGUAGAGAUGUGGAGGAACACCAAUGGCGAAGGCAGCCCCCUGGGAUGACACUGACGCUCAUGCACGAAAGCGUGGGGAGCAAACAGG